rnacentral:rRNA from 1 species
UACGUAGGGUGCAAGCGUUAAUCGGAAUUACUGGGCGUAAAGCGUGCGCAGGCGGUUAUGUAAGACAGGUGUGAAAUCCCCGGGCUUAACCUGGGAACUGCAUUUGUGACUGCAUAGCUAGAGUACGGUAGGGGGGGAUGGAAUUCCGCGUGUAGCAGUGAAAUGCGUAGAUAUGCGGAGGAACACCGAUGGCGAAGGCAAUCCCCUGGACCUGUACUGACGCUCAUGCACGAAAGCGUGGGGAGCGAACAGG